GAUGAACGCUGGCGGUAUGCUUAACACAUGCAAGUCGAACGGACUCUUCGGAGUUAGUGGCGGACGGGUGAGUAACGCGUGAGAAUCUGGCUUUGGGUUCGGGACCACCACUGGAAACGGUGGCUAAUACCGGAUGUGCCGAGAGGUAAAAGAGAAAUUGCCUGAAGAUGAGCUCGCGUCUGAUUAGCUCGUUGGUGAGGUAAAGGCUCACCAAGGCAGAGAGCAGUAGCUGGUCUGAGAGUAUGACCAGCCACACUGGGACUGAGACACGGCCCAGACUCCUACGAGAGGCAACAGUGGGAAAUUGUCCGCAAUGGGCGAAAGCCUGACGGAGCAAUACCGCGUGAGAGAAGAAGGCUCUUGGGUUGUAAACCUCUUUUCUUAGGGAAGGACAGAAUGACGGUACCUAAUAAAUCAGCAUCGGCUAACUCCGUG
rnacentral:rRNA from 1 species